CCCCAUCACCGCUUCACGUUCACUCCACCAGUGAGUGUUUUAAAGAAUAUUCUAGCUGACUGCAUUGAUUUACAGAACUAAUCAUUCUCAAGCAGACAUUAAGCCCAUGUCCACCAGCUAACAGCAAGGUGAUGCCCACAUUCCCUCCAAGAGGCUGGCUGCAGAUUCAGAGCUGCCUCUCCAAAGCCUCUGUGACCAGGUGACACAAGCACACCUGUCCUUGUCCCGUUGUGUCAGCACCAGUGGAGGAGCUUCUACAACUGACGUCAGGAGAGGUCCAACUAUCUGUAUACUAUUUACAGAGUGAAAGACGGGCACAUCACACGGAUCCGUCCCCAGGUGACUUCAGCCAUGCCCAGUUCAGCUGGACGUCAUCAUGCUCCUGCCACCUCUCAUACUGUCCUCUCCAGGUCUUCCCUCGUCUUCGUCCUGGCUGUGGCUGCAGCUUGGUGGCUGAUGGUCGUCUCUGUGCUGCUGUGGCCCCAAGGUGUCAUAUUUUACCCUUCACUACAACACAUCCUUCCCCAAGUUAUAUUUUAUGGAACAUGUGGAUUAUUUAGUCCAGAAUUUUACAUAUUUGAAAAUUUUAUAUUGUUUCAGAUAAUUUGAUCUAAAAAUAAACUUCAAGCAAAUCCUU